CUAGCCGUAAACGAUGGGUACUAGGUGUGGGAGGUAUCGACCCCUUCCGUGCCGGAGUUAACGCAAUAAGUACCCCGCCUGGGGACUACGAUCGCAAGAUUGAAACUCAAAGGAAUUGACGGGGGCCCGCACAAGCAGCGGAGCAUGUGGUUUAAUUCGAAGCAACGCGAAGAACCUUACCUAGACUUGACAUCUCCUGAAUUACCCGUAAUGGGGGAAGCUCUUCGGAGCAGGAAGACAGGUGG
rnacentral:rRNA from 1 species